rnacentral:rRNA from 1 species
UGGGGAAUUUUGGACAAUGGGCGCAAGCCUGAUCCAGCCAUGCCGCGUGGGUGAAGAAGGCCUUCGGGUUGUAAAGCCCUUUCGGCCGGGAAGAAAACGUGCGGGCGAACAGUCUGCAUGGAUGACGGUACCGGAAGAAGAAGCACCGGCUAACUACGUGCCAGCAGCCGCGGUAAUACGUAGGGUGCGAGCGUUAAUCGGAAUUAUUGGGCGUAAAGCGUGCGCAGGCGGCGCCAUAAGACAGCUGUGAAAUCCCCGGGCUUAACCUGGGAACUGCGGUUGUGACUGUGGUGCUAGAGUACGGCAGAGGGAGGUGGAAUUCCUGGUGUAGCAGUGAAAUGCGUAGAGAUCAGGAGGAACACCGAUGGCGAAGGCAGCCUCCUGGGCUGAUACUGACGCUCAUGCACGAAAGCGUGGGGAGCAAACA